CUGCGCAGGCGCGGGCGCCAUAUUGGCCGCGGACGCUCAGCACUGGCGGCGGCUUCUCUCCCCAAUCCCGGAGCCUCCCUCUUCGGGGUCCUUUUCGGGAAUUGUAGAAAGAUAAGAUAAAAGAUGUCUCGAAGAUAUGACUCGAGGACCACUAUAUUUUCUCCAGAAGGUAAAAAAAGAAAUUGCUUAA